UAGAGAACGGAGCUAAGUCGGUUGUUACUAAUAACAUGUCUUGCUCUCCAUCUAACAAUGCUGAUCACCAAAAGUGGAACGAAGAUGUAAUGCCGAUUUCACAUGAUGAUCAUUGGUAUUUAAAAAAGGGAAACGAUGGAGUGGCGGUAAUAAGAAGCAGGAAUAAAGACGAAAAAGAAAUAGCAGCAGAAUGGGAAACUUCAGACUAUCUAUCGGAAUCUAAGCCAAAGAAAUCUAUGAUCAGGCGAGAGGAAGAUAUAUUUUAAUUUCGCUAAUAUUCAAUAAAAAUUAAAAGACAUUACCGAGUUUAUUUCUUUUACAGACGACCAUAUCGAAC
rnacentral:lncRNA from 1 species